AAACUACCUGUGUUUAAGUAUUUAUCUGGAAUUGAGUGUUUAUCUGAAAUUGAAAGUUAAUUGGAUGUCUUUUAUUUUUAUUUGUUAAAUCUAGCAAUUCUACUCAUUGUGCUCAUACAGACACAUGAAAGGUCUAGAACUUUCUCUGGUUUCAUUCGAAUUAAAUCUACACAUUCCUUAAUUGUAGACUUAGUUCCACUCUUGUCCAUGCCAGCAGCAUUUAUCUGACUAUUGCUUUUAUUUGUGUUUAUUGUGGUUUAAUGAAACCUAACUGUGGAGCAUUCCAGAAAAUAUGAAAUAAGUGAAAAAAAAAAGGAGGUUCUUUGACAUUCAAGGAGUAUUUAGUUUGAAAAAAAUCAAAGGGCUAGAGAUAGGGGAGAAACUUCAUUCCAUAACCAAAUAUGUCUUGAAUAGAAGAGACAACAAAUACAGUCCAUACUUAUCCAGAAUAUACAGCUUGAAUCAUAGGGAAAGUUACAAGGUAGCAUGUUAGAUUCCAUAUAAGUCUAACUAGAAAGAAAAUUAGUGUUAUAAUCAACAUUUCCUAUGGAAUGAAAUAGAAUAGAUUUCUGCCUCUAGAGACUGCUAGUGUUUGAAAAAGGAAGAUAUCUGUUAAGAACAUCAUGAAAGAUACUCUUGCAUUGCUGUUUUCUGCAGGUGGAUCAUGAAAUAUAAUUUUGGGAGAUCCAUGGACCUGAGGGAAGAAGACAGAUGGUGAAAAGUUAUGGAGUCAUAGUAAGUGAGAAUGGUUUCCAGAGAAAGACAUGCUCAUGAGAUUGUAGUGGAAAAUCCAGUGACAAAUUUGUCACAGCAAGGUAGCAAGAUAAUUUUAAGGGAGAGGUAAACUAAUAUUCAACUUUAAAUUGUUUCCUGCUCCUAACUGGGAUGUGGAUUCCCUCUAUUAUCUCAAAACCACCUCUAAAUGAGGUGCAUGCAAAAGUGUUGUAUUAAUAAAAUUGGGUUUUCCAGAAACAGCAGCUCUGGUUAUAUGCAGAGUGAAAUUUGAAGAAAGAAAAGGCAGUCAUAGGGACUUGAGAAAAUGAGAGGGGGCAAAGAAGCUGCCAGAGAAGGAAAGCAAAGCAGGAUGGAAUUAGGGAAAUUCUAGGCGUUUUGUAUAACCUCAGAAAGUUAAGAUGCAGGGAUAGACACGGUGGAAGAUGGUAUCUCAAACAUUUUUUAAAAAAUUGUUAAGUCUUAUCUAAGAAGGAAGAGUGCUUGGGGGUAAAUCAGUGACAUGAGAAUAAGCUUUUUUGUAGACCUUUCCUUCAAUGAGAUCGGUUGCUUUAUGUUACAGUGGAAGACAUGACAUUUUUUAUGCUAUCUGGAAAGGCCAUUAUAAACGGGAUCUUCGGAUUGGAUGGGAAAAUAGACGAAGGAGUUCUCUUAUCACUUAUGGUCCACACUGUUUAAAUUAAAUCUCUCAUGACUUUCUAUGUAGUUACUCUUUCAUGGUU
rnacentral:lncRNA from 1 species